rnacentral:rRNA from 1 species
GGAAGAUGCGAGCGUUAUCCGGAUUUAUUGGGUUUAAAGGGAGCGUAGGCGGGCUUUUAAGUCAGCGGUCAAAUGCCACGGCUCAACCGUGGCCAGCCGUUGAAACUGCGGAUCUUGAGUACCGGAAGGGCAGAUGGAAUUCCUGGUGUAGCGGUGAAAUGCGUAGAGAUCAGGAGGAACACCGGUGGCGAAAGCGGUCUGCUGGACGGUAACUGACGUUGAGGCUCGAAGGCGUGGGGAGCAAACAGGAUUAGAUACCCUGGUAGUCCACGCAGUAAACGAUGAAUACUAGGUGUUGGGGCCCAUAGGGCUUCGGUGCCGCCGCAAACGCAUUAAGUAUUCCACCUGGGGAGU